CCAGUAUUUUAUAUCGACUAUGCAUGCAGUGGACUGAGUUUUAUUCUCCUGCCACUAGAGGUCGUCUUUGGAACGUAAUCCGGGUCUGUGUUCCUGACCGCUGCAGCAUGUUCCUGUGUGUGUUGUGGUAAUGGUAUAACCGUCCGAAUCAGAUCUUGUAGACCUCAGCUGAUGUCCGUUCUGUCUCAGGAUAGCUCACUUUGUGUUUGAAUCAUGUAGGAUCGUGAUUUCUUCAAUGCCAGGCCACCAGAACGAUAGUUCGUGGUCCACUUGCAGAGCUGCCUGAGACCCAACAGAUAAUAAAACUACAGCCAGUAGGUUUUGUUUCAUCGUAGAAUAUUAAAACUGAGGCUCAGGACAGCAUGGUGUUGAAGGUCUGCUGCGGCCGUGCUCCACAGUCUGGAGGAGCUCAGCGUGGAGAGGUCAAGCAGGAGUUUUCCAGGAUACGCCGUGACUACCACACACAGCCCUCGUGUCUCUCCAGUAGCCUGGCCAUUUCCCUCUGGAGGAUCUCAGGAGCCUCUGGAAACAAAAUCUGCCUCAAGCUGGACUUCUACUAAGAAGGCUGUUUGAAUAUUGUCCAUCGGCACCUAAACCUAGCCUUAGCCAUGAGUAGUGCCUAAAAUCAGAGAAAACACUGUUAUAAUAAUGUUGAAAAUCAUGAAAAUCAAUCGUGCAAAAUCUCGAUUUAUAGUUGCUCCACUUAAAAAGGUACAUACUUUUGUUUACUCUCCUUUGCAAGCUGUUUCACUUCUAUUUAGUCAUAGCCUCAAUCUCUAAAACUACCUUCUGACCUUUUACUCUGAGAGAAAUCUAAAUAAAGAAACCUCCAGUUUA